GUUAGUGGCGGACGGGUGAGUAACGCGUGAGAAUCUGCCCUCAGGAGGGGGAUAACGGUUGGAAACGACCGCUAAUACCCCAUAUGCCGCGAGGUGAAAUGAAUUUCGCCUGAGGAUGAGCUCGCGUCUGAUUAGCUAGUUGGUGGGGUAAGAGCCUACCAAGGCUUCGAUCAGUAGCUGGUCUGAGAGGAUGAUCAGCCACACUGGGACUGAGACACGGCCCAGACUCCUACGGGAGGCAGCAGUGGGGAAUUUUCCGCAAUGGGCGAAAGCCUGACGGAGCAACGCCGCGUGAGGGAUGAAGGCCUCUGGGCUGUAAACCUCUUUUAUCAAGGAAGAAGAUCUGACGGUACUUGAUGAAUAAGCCACGGCUAAUUCCGUGCCAGCAGCCGCGGUAAUACGGGAGUGGCAAGCGUUAUCCGGAAUUAUUGGGCGUAAAGCGUCCGCAGGCGGUCUUACAAGUCUGUCGUUAAAGCGUGGAGCUUAACUCCAUUUCGGCGAUGGAAACUGUAAGACUAGAGUGUGGUAGGGGCAGAGGGAAUUCCCGGUGUAGCGGUGAAAUGCGUAGAUAUCGGGAAGAACACCAGUGGCGAAGGCGCUCUGCUGGGCCAUAACUGACGCUCAUGGACGAAAGCUAGGGGAGCGAAAGGGAUUAGAUACCCCUGUAGUCCUAGCCGUAAACGAUGAACACUGGUGUCGGGGGAAUCGACCCCCUCGGUGUCGUAGCCAACGCGUUAAGUGUUCCGCCUGGGGAGUACGCACGCAAGUGUGAAACUCAAAGGAAUUGACGGGGGCCCGCACAAGCGGUGGUAGUAUGUGGUUUAAUUCGAUGCAACGCGAAGAACCUUACCAGGGUUUGACAUCCUGCGAAUCCCUUGGAAACUUGGGAGUGCCUUCGGGAGCGCAGUGACAGGUGGUGCAUGGCUGUCGUCAGCUCGUGUCGUGAGAUGUUGGGUUAAGUCCCGCAACGAGCGCAACCCACGUCUUUAGUUGCCAGCAUUUAGUUGGGCACUCUAGAGAGACCGCCGGUGAUAAACCGGAGGAAGGUGUGGAUGACGUCAAGUCAUCAUGCCCCUUACAUCCUGGGCUACACACGUACUACAAUGCUACGGACAAAGGGCAGCAAACUCGCGAGAGCUAGCCAAUCCCAUAAACCGUGGCUCAGUUCAGAUCGUAGGCUGCAACUCGCCUACGUGAAGGAGGAAUCGCUAGUAAUCGCAGGUCAGCAUACUGCGGUGAAUACGUUCCCGGGCCUUGUACACACCGCCCGUCACACCAUGGAAGUUGGCCACGCCCGAAGUCGUUACUCCAACCCUUGUGGAGGAGGAUGCCGAAGGUGGGGCUGAUGACUGGGGUGAAGUCGUAACAAGGUAGCCGUACCGGAAGGUGCGGCUGGAUCACCUCCU
rnacentral:rRNA from 1 species